GGGGAUAUAGCUCAGUUGGUAGAGUGCUUGUCUUGCAUGCACAAAGCCCUGGGUUCAAUCCCCAGCACCA
rfam:Ictidomys tridecemlineatus contig040011, whole genome shotgun sequence.